GAGUUUGAUCCUGGCUCACGACGAACGCUGGCGGCGUGCCUAAUACAUGCAAGUAGAACGCUGAAGACUUUAGCUUGCUAAAGUUGGAAGAGUUGCGAACGGGUGAGUAACGCGUAGGUAACCUGCCUACUAGCGGGGGAUAACUAUUGGAAACGAUAGCUAAUACCGCAUAACAGCAUUUAACCCAUGUUAGAUGCUUGAAAGGAGCAAUUGCUUCACUAGUAGAUGGACCUGCGUUGUAUUAGCUAGUUGGUGAGGUAACGGCUCACCAAGGCGACGAUACAUAGCCGACCUGAGAGGGUGAUCGGCCACACUGGGACUGAGACACGGCCCAGACUCCUACGGGAGGUAGCAGUAGGGAAUCUUCGGCAAUGGGGGCAACCCUGACCGAGCGACGCCGCGUGAGUGAAGAAGGUUUUCGGAUCGUAAAGCUCUGUUGUAAGAGAAGAACGUGUGUGAGAGUGGAAAGUUCACACAGUGACGGUAACUUACCAGAAAGGGACGGCUAACUACGUGCCAGCAGCCGCGGUAAUACGUAGGUCCCGAGCGUUGUCCGGAUUUAUUGGGCGUAAAGCGAGCGCAGGCGGUUUAAUAAGUCUGAAGUUAAAGGCAGUGGCUUAACCAUUGUUCGCUUUGGAAACUGUUAGACUUGAGUGCAGAAGGGGAGAGUGGAAUUCCAUGUGUAGCGGUGAAAUGCGUAGA
rnacentral:rRNA from 1 species